AGUGAACGCUGGCGGUAGGCCUAACACAUGCAAGUCGAACGGAAGCACAGUAAGAGCUUGCUCUUACGGGUGGCGAGUGGCGGACGGGUGAGGCAUACAUCGGCUUCUACUUUUUCGUGGGUGAUAACGUAGGGCCACUUCCACUAAUACCGCAUACGUCCUACGGGUGAAAGCAGUAGAUCAUCGGACCUUGCCCGAUUGAAUGAGCCGAUGUCGGAUUAGCUAGUUGGCGGGGUAAAGGCACACCAAGGCGACGAUGCGUAGCUGGUCUGAGAGGAUGAUCAGCCACACUGGAACUGAGACACGGUCCAGACUCCUACGGGAGGCAGCAGUGGGGAAUAUUGGACAAUGGGCGCAAGCCUGAUCCAGCCAUACCGCGUGGGUGAAGAAGGCCUUCGGGUUGUAAAGCCCUUUUGUUGGGAAAGAAAAGCAGCAGGUUAAUACCCCGCUGUUCUGACGGUACCCAAAGAAUAAGCACCGGCUAACUUCGUG
rnacentral:rRNA from 1 species